rnacentral:piRNA from 1 species
UGACCAAGCCAGUUCAGUCAGUCAG